GACGAACGCUGGCGGCAUGCCUAACACAUGCAAGUCGAGCGAGCAGAUCCCUUCGGGGUGAAGCUAGCGGCGGACGGGUGAGUAACACGUGGGCAACCUGCCUCAUAGAGGGGAAUAGCCUUCCGAAAGGAAGAUUAAUACCGCAUAAGAUUGUAGCUUCGCAUGAAGCAGCAAUUAAAGGAGCAAUCCGCUAUGAGAUGGGCCCGCGGCGCAUUAGCUAGUUGGUGAGGUAACGGCUCACCAAGGCGACGAUGCGUAGCCGACCUGAGAGGGUGAUCGGCCACAUUGGGACUGAGACACGGCCCAGACUCCUACGGGAGGCAGCAGUGGGGAAUAUCGCACAAUGGGGGAAACCCUGAUGCAGCAAUGCCGCGUGAGUGAUGACGGCCUUCGGGUUGUAAAGCUCUGUCUUCGGGGACGAUAAUGACGGUACCCGAGGAGGAAGCCACGGCUAACUACGUGCCAGCAGCCGCCGUAA
rnacentral:rRNA from 1 species